AGUCUCUGUCAAUAUGGGCAUCAGAGAAGCCUAUGAUGUGGGUGCUCUCUUCUCAUCUUCUGACUCCACUGGACUCUGACCCCAACUGGUGACACCACAGGAGACUUCGAUGAGCAGGACUGCCUGUCCCACCACGCCUCGGGAACCGCCCUGCUUCGGAAGAAACAGAAUUGCUUGCAGACAAAGUCUCCUGAUAAAGAAGACUUCUUCUCUCCAAGCUCCUUGAAAUGAUCUACUUUAAGUCUCAAACCCUGCUUCUAACUCCUCGCUCAUCGACGUGGCGGAGAAGCUUGUCUUGGUGUCAAGAAAUGUUCAUGCGUUACCUUGAGCACCUGGUCCGAGGAGUUUAACCCCGAGCAGGACACACUCACUGGUCCUUUACUCUGCGUCCCGGCACCUGAGCUGAGAGCUUGACAGCUGGUGU